CGAGUUCACCGGGGGUGUCCGUUGCAAGAUGGUCUGAGAAAUACCCCACUCACCUGAUCUGGAUCAUGCCAGCGUAGGGAGCGUGAAGGUUGGCCUUC
rnacentral:ncRNA from 2 species